CAGUAGCCGCGGGAAUACAGAGGGUGCGAGCGUUAAUCGGAUUUACUGGGCGUAAAGCGUGCGUAGGCGGCUAAUUGAGUCGGAUGUGAAAUCCCCGAGCUUAACUUGGGAAUUGCAUUCGAUACUGGGAAGCUAGAGUAUGGGAGAGGAUGGUAGAAUUCCAGGUGUAGCGGUGAAAUGCGUAGAGAUCUGGAGGAAUACCGAUGGCGAAGGCAGCCAUCUGGCCUAAUACUGACGCUGAGGUACGAAAGCAUGGGGAGCAAACAGGAUUAGAGACCCCCGUAGUCCCUGUCUCUUAUAC
rnacentral:rRNA from 1 species